UACGAAGGGGGCUAGCGUUGUUCGGAAUUACUGGGCGUAAAGCGCACGUAGGCGGCUUGUUAAGUCAGGGGUGAAAUCCUGGAGCUCAACUCCAGAACUGCCUUUGAUACUGGCAAGCUUGGAGUCCGGGAGAGGUGAGUGGAACUGCGAGUGUAGAGGUGAAAUUCGUAGAUAUUCGCAAGAACACCAGUGGCGAAGGCGGCUCACUGGCCCGGUACUGACGCUGAGGUGCGAAAGCGUGGGGAGCAAACAGG
rnacentral:rRNA from 1 species